rnacentral:rRNA from 1 species
AGAUUGAACGCUGGCGGCAUGCCUUACACAUGCAAGUCGAACGGCAGCACGGGAGCAAUCCUGGUGGCGAGUGGCGAACGGGUGAGUAAUAUAUCGGAACGUGCCCAGUCGUGGGGGAUAACGCAGCGAAAGCUGUGCUAAUACCGCAUACGAUCUCUGGAUGAAAGCGGGGGACUCGCAAGGGCCUCGCGCGAUUGGAGCGGCCGAUAGUCAGAUUAGCUAGUGUGGGUAAAGGCCUACCAAGGCGACGAUCUGUAGCUGGUCUGAGAGGACGACCAGCCACACUGGAACUGAGACACGGUCCAGACUCCUACGGGAGGCAGCAGUGGGAAUUUUGGACAAGUGGGCGCAAGCCUGAUCCAGCAAGUGCCGCGUGCAGGAUGAAGGUCCGUUCGGGUUAGUAAACGU